UCUCUGUCAGAUAGUAAUAUCUUCUCAUCAUCUUCUUUUUCUCUGAAAUAAUCUUAUCGCCAUGCAACACCUUCAAAAUUUUUCUACCAGCUACCGUCCUAUAGCCUCUCGAAUCCAGUCUGCUCAGAGAAAUAAGAUUCCAUCUGAAAUUGGAUGUAUCGAAUCUCUCCCAAUCUCCUCACUACACCAUAUGUGUCCUCCAGCU
rnacentral:lncRNA from 1 species